AAUAUUGCGCAAUGGGGGGAACCCUGACGCAGCAACGCCGCGUGAGUGACGAAGGUUUUCGGAUCGUAAAGCUCUGUCAUUGGGGACGAAAAGAUGACGGUACCCAAGGAGGAAGCCCCGGCUAACUACGUGCCAGCAGCCGCGGUAAUACGUAGGGGGGGAGUGUUGUCCGGAAUUACUGGGCGUAAAGGGUACGGAGGCGGCCUGAUAAGUCAGCUGUGAAAUACCACGGCUUAACCGUGGGGGUGCAGUUGAAACUGUUGGGCUUGAGUGCAGGAGAGGAGAGUGGAAUUCCUAGUGUAGCGGUGAAAUGCGUAGAUAUUAGGAGGAACACCAGUGGCGAAGGCGACUCUCUGGACUGCAACUGACGCUGAGGCACGAAAGCGUGGGUAGCGAACA
rnacentral:rRNA from 1 species